rnacentral:rRNA from 1 species
GCCUAAGGCCAUACUCCCUAAAUAUGCCUGAUCUUGUCUAAUCUCGGAAGCUAAGCAAGGUCAGGCCUGGUUAGUACUUGAAUGAGAGAUCACCUGGGAAUACCAAGUGCUGUAAAAA